ACCAGCUCUCCUCUCUCCACUCUAGGAUGUGCCAGCAUGGCUGCAGUGAAGGAGGCCAGUUGAGCGGUGGGGGUGGUGAAAGCUGCCAGUUGGGCGGCUGGUGGAAAAGAAGGCAGGCAGGGGCCCAGCGGCAGCAGUGAAGAAGAGGAAAGUAGGAAGCGUGAAUACAGGACUGUUGUGUCAGCAGCUACGGGAGAAGCAGCAGCACCGGGUAUACUGGACACGGAGCCUGCUGAAAGAUUCAUGAGUGACCUUGCUGAUCGCAACCACGGAAGAACAUCAAGACUCUCCUGUUUUCUCAGGCAUUUAAUUAGAAUUAAUUUUAAUAAUUUUAAAUCUUGUUUUGAUAUCUGUUUUAGUCUAUUGCUUUUAUUAUGUAUUUUAAUUUGUAACUUGUAAAUAUUUUAGAUUUUGUACAGUGCCUAGAGAUGUACAUAUCAGGCGGUA